CUAUUGUCACACUUUAAUUGUUCCACUCUAGUGCCUUGGUCUGCAACCAGCAACCACGUAACUCUCGUUAGCCCUAAUUCUGAAUGAAGAAUCAUUGGUUAAUGGAGGAAGAUGGUGUAGUUCAUGCUAGUUCUGAAAUCAAUUUAAUCAACAAUGAAGACACCGUACUCUGAAACAAUACAUUCAUUGUCUUUUUAACCCUACAAAUCUUCGACAACCACAUGUUUCCGCCGCCUCUCUAUCGUACCUGAUUCAACACAACCACCGUCACAAGAAUUACCACAAUUCGUCAUCACUGUUCCCUCAGGCUCUCCUCAAAAGCGCUCAAACUGAAACAUCUGAUUCAAAUCGAACAAAUGGAUGAAAUACUAUCAACUUGAAGGUGAGUCCUAGUGCAUCACAUGUUUGAGGUCCAAAAAACUACCAUAGAGCAAUCCCUCGCUUAAAUUAACUAUUAAGCAAACUGUUUUUUUCUGUCUGAGGUUAUGCUUUGAUUCUCUCUGUAGUUUCGUUGUUUUUUUUCUUUUCUAUCUGGUGUUUAUGCAAUUUUAGAACCACAUUUUUUCCCUACAUUAUGUCGUAUUCAUUAUGUCAUAUGAAGAAUUUAUUGGGGUUGCAUAAGUAUUCGAGUGGGUCGGAGAUGUACAAAAAGGCACUACAAGCUGUAUAUUUAACUGCAAUUUGGGGCAUUUGGAAGGCGCGAAACAAGGCGGUGUUUAACAAUGUUCAGGCACAGCUCCAAAAGACUAUGAGCUGACAUAAAAGCUCUUAGCAUAAGCAUUAGGAAGGGAGGGUGGGUAACAGAUUGAUCGCGUUUAUCUUAGCUCUGCUUAUUGUGUUGUUGUACUUGAUCAUGAAAGGAAGUGGACGUAUGUGUUGAGGAAGGAAGGGCUACCUGAUGUUGGUAAGCAAUUAUAUUGACCUGUUUAUCUUUGUUCUCCUUCUUGUUGCUAGCACAAAAUACCGUGGGGAAUUCGAAGAAAGAUUAAAGAAGUUAAUGGAAGAAACAACACAAAGUGAUGAUAUAAUUCUUUUUAUUGAUGAGGUUUACACUUUAAUUGGAGCUAGAGCAGCAGAAGUUGCUAUUGAUGCUGCUAAUAUAUUAAAAUGAGCCCUUACCAGAGGUGAAUUGCAGGUGGCAAUGUAUACACUUGAUAAAUACCGAAAACAUAUUGAAUAAUAUCCAGCGUUAGAGAGAUAUCCAGCGUUAGAGAGACGGUUCCAGCCAGUUAAGGUGAAACAAGCAAGGAUGAACAAACAAAAAUUUUGGCUUAUAGCCCCGAAGAAGCUCUGUAAUUGUUAUUGGAAUGGCUGGACUGCUUGAUUAUUUAUUUGUAUAACAUCAUUUUUUUCAUGUUUCCAUAUCAUACUCACUAGUUUGUUUGCAUGCCAACGUGUGUGAGAUAUCACCACUUUAUGCUGUACUUUUUUUUAUACACGCCCAAUUACUAACAUUGGUAGGUUUGUUUGUUUUUAUUGUAUUUAUAUAAUAUAUAAAUAACUUCUAUA